rnacentral:rRNA from 1 species
UAGCGAAGAGGAUUAGAUACCCUCGUAGUCCCAGCCGUAAACGGUGCACACUUGCUGUGGGCGGAUUCGACCCCGUCCGUGGCGAAGCUAACGCGAUAAGUGUGCCGCCUGGGGAGUACGGUCGCAAGAUUAAAACUCAAAGAAAUUGACGGGGGCCUGCACAAGCGGUGGAGUAUGUGGCUUAAUUCGAUGCAACGCGAAGAACCUUACCUGGCCUUGACAUGUAGUGGACCGGGUGCGAAAUCACCCUUUCCUUCGGGACUGCUACACAGGUGCUGCAUGGCUGUCGUCAGCUCGUGUCGUGAGAUGUUGGGUUAAGUCCCGCAACGAGCGCAACCCCCGUGUUCUGUUGCCACCCGGAUGAGAAUCCGGAGCACUCUGGACAGACUGCCUGGUUUCAACCAGGAGGAAGGUGGGGAUGACGUCAAGUCAGUAUGGCCCUUACGGCCAGGGCUGCACACGUACUACAAUGCCUGAUAUAAUGGGAAGCGAGACCGCGAGGUGGAGCAAAUCCUCAAAAUCAGGCCCAGUUCAGAUUGUAGGCUGCAACUCGCCUACAUGAAGGAGGAAUCGCUAGUAAUGCCGUAUCAGCUACGACGGCGUGAAUACGUUCCCAGGCCUUGUACACACCGCCCGUCACAUCAUGAAAGUCGAUUGUACCCGAAGUCGCUGCGUUAACCGCAAGGAGACAGGUGCCGAAGGUAUGGUUGGUAAUUGGGAUGAAGUCGUAACAAGGUAGCCGUAGGGGAACCUGUGGCUG